UUGUGGCUAAUGUCUCUGUUAUUGUCUUCAGUGCUGUGGUAUGCACGAAUGUCCGUCUUUGACUACCCUGAUCCAAGCCUGCAGUUGCAGCUUCUGGCCACCGGGGUGGCGCUGGCAGCACUGCUUCAGGAGCUGUGAGCGGCUUGGCCUUUGGCCUAAUGAGCUCAGCCUUUUCCUCUGCCAACAUCCUGCCACUGUCGCCGGGGCCAGGCAUUGUAGGAAUUCACGGGGAAUCGUCUCACUUCUUCAUUACCUCUGCUUUACAGCCCAUGAUGCAAUUCUGCCUCCACAUCCGCUGCUCAGUGUUGGUGUUCUCUGCCUGUGAGGGGGCAAGUCGG